rnacentral:rRNA from 1 species
CAAAAACAUAGCUUAGUGUAAAUAUACUAGGUGAUUUCUGCUCAAUGAAAAAUUAAAUAGCCGCGGUACCCUGACCGUGCAAAGGUAGCGUAAUCAUUUGUCUUUUAAUUAAAGUCUAGUAUGAAGGAAUAUACGAAGGGGUAGCUAUAUUUAACAAUAUUACAAGAAAUUACUUAUUAAGUGAAAAUACUUAAAUAUUAAACAAUAGACGAGAAGACCCUAGAAAUUUAUAAUAUAAAUUUUGUUGGGGCAACAUAGUAACAAGUUAACUUACUUAAAUCUCAAGACGUAUUACGGAUUGAAGAAAUUACUCUAGGGAUAACAGCAUAAUACUUAAGUGUUUGUGACCUCGAUGUUGGAUUAGGGAGUUGUAGCUAAGAAAGUUAACAAAACGCUCUGUUCG